CUCUCCUCAUAAAGCGCCCCCACCGUGACGGAUGUUAAUCGUUUUUUUUUCGUUGGAUUGCGUGGGCUGAACAAUCCGGACAUCGUGGCCACCGACGUGGACCCCCGCCACCGGGACCCACGCACACCGACCACCACACUGGGAAGUGUCCUCUGCUCACUGUGGAAGCAGCAUGGAAGAACUGCAACAACUCUGAUGGAAACGAGGACCUCCACGCUGUUGAACACAAACUGUUCUAGGCCUACUACAAACCGAGGCGGUCCCACUCGGUUAAAGAUCUCGUGGUCAAUGCGGCAGACCGCUGGACCUGGACGUCACCUUCUGCAGAUACUUCACUGCCCUCAGGAAUCCACGGAUAACUUGCAACAUGUCCGACUCCACAUGUCCGAAAAAUCCAUGAUGGAAACUUGUGGAAGGAAGAAGAGGUCUGUUUUUGCUCAACCCAUAACCCCACUGAGCCCUUCUGUGGAAACCUGUCUGACUGACCCUACUGACUGGGGGCCUGUUGAUGUGUGUUUGGUUGGUCUGGUAGAAGGUUUGCUGCUUGUGAUCUGCAAGGUGGUCCUGGGUUAGAUGCGGUGUCUGACUUGCACACCACUCUCCCAAUUCUAUUCUGCUCUUUAAUACUUUUCUACUUUCAAUACACUUGCUGCUGCUGCUGCUGUUGACCGCUGGUGGUGCAAUGUGGUUUUUAUUCGCGUAUGUUCUGUGGACUUUACAUUUGUAUUUUAAUGAACAUGUUUACUGACUGUGAGACCCCGGAUUGGCAAACCUAAACUCCUUCACUGGCAAAAUGUAGAUGCAAAUUAAAUGCCCAAAUUACCAUUUCAAUAUUCGUUUUGCGUAUUUCACCAAUAGCUUCGGAACUAGACGGACCUCGUAUAUAAUUUGCUCUUCAAAUAUGCGGUCAGGCGCCCCUCCGUUAUAUUACGUUUUCUGCCCGGUACGAAAUAGACCGACCAAUAGCAGCCCUUAGGCUAUCUAAUGUGAGGUUGGACAUACGCAACAUGAAGAGGUGUUUCAACAACAAAGAUGGAAGUUGGUGAACUAAAGACUGUAUGCUCACUCAGGGCCGCCGAUCGGCAUAGGCGAGCUAGGCGACCGCCUAGGCCCUAGGGCGACAAAUGCGUUGGGGGCGCCCUCUGGUGGCGCCAUUAAUCAGUCAAUUAAAAUAUACGACGCGAACGGAGAAGGGAGGGGGCGCGGGAGCAAUCGCCAGGGCGGCCCGAAACCGUCACCGUAGCAGGAUCCAGAAGGAUUUCACAACGAGUCCAUUGGAAGAUAUCGAGGAACAUGAACAUCACCAAUGAAGGAGAGUAACGUUUCCACUUGCUAUAGGAAUUUAGUGAAGCACUAAAUAGUUAAUUAUUAAUAAUGAUAAAAUGUGGUCACCAUUUAUUUACUUUUUGGGUAAGACUUGCUUUGCUAAUAUAACUGUGUUAAAACCGCAUUCAUUUACUUUUCUUGUGUAGUUUCCCACUAUUCAUUAAAUGUUUUAUAGAAAUAAAAAAGUGAUCAAUAGAACUAUACACAUUUGUACAACAAUUAAUCAUUAUACAGGAUUUGAACAUUUUCUAUUCAAGCUCAUGCUUCAUAAAUCAUUUGGUACUCUGCAAUCCUUGGAAAUAUUAUGAACAGUUGUUUUUGUUCAG